CUUUGUCCUCUAUCUGUCCUGUGAAUGCUUCCCAGAGCUGUGUUAGUCACCCACGCUCGCCCGCUCCGGUCCGUGGUCGCCAUCUCGGGUGCACGGACCACCGUGACUGGUCUACGUUUAGGGAAGACGCACGUGGCUCCAACCCUCAUGGCAGUCGAGCACUGUAGACAGCCCCCCCCCUUUGUCUUGACUUUCCCUCCUUAUCUUCCUACUUUGCCUGUCGUCAUUACGUGGCAUCCCUUGUUUGG